rnacentral:tRNA from 1 species
CCGGGCCGUGGCGCUGGCCGUGCAGCGGGCGCUCGGCGAAGCCGCGGCCGAGCGCUGGAAUCCCGGCCCGCCGUUCGACUCGGUGCUGCCCGGACC